CCUACUCUGAGCACACUUGAGCAAUCCUACUGAAACUCUUGAGAGUUCCCCUCUCUGCUCAAGUCCGCUUCUCCCCAGUCCACCCAGCCGCCUGCUCCUCCGCGCUGUGCUAGUGCUUCCUUGUUGCUCACAAGAAGCUCCGCCACCGCCGGAGCACCGCCGGACAUCGCCGCCGCCCAAGUCUUAGUGCUUCAGUCCUUCCGCCCAAGUCUGUUCCCUCCCGACCCCAAGCUUCACCUAUACACUAAAGGUAAGCU
rnacentral:lncRNA from 1 species